AACGUAGGUUCCGAGCGUUAUCCGGAUUUACUGGGCGUAAAGCGCGUUCAGGCGGUUUGGCAAGUCGGGCAUGAAAUCUCUCGGCUCAACCGGGAGAGGUUGUCCGAUACUGCUGGACUUGAGGGCAGUAGAGGGUGGUGGAAUUCCAGGUGUAGCGGUGAAAUGCGUAGAUAUCUGGAGGAACACCGGUGGCGAAGGCGGCAUCCUGGACCGAGAUUGACGCUGAGGCGCGAAAGCUAGGGUAGCAAACGGG
rnacentral:rRNA from 1 species